UACGUAGGGGGCUAGCGUUGUCCGGAAUCAUUGGGCGUAAAGAGCGCGUAGGCGGCUAGAUAAGUCCGGUGUGAAAGUCACAGGCUCAACCUGUGAAUGCCGCUGGAAACUGUCUGGCUAGAGUCCGGAAGGGGCGAGUGGAAUUCCUGGUGUAGCGGUGAAAUGCGCAGAUAUCAGGAGGAACACCAAUGGCGAAGGCAGCUCGCUGGGACGGUACUGACGCUGAGGCGCGAAAGUGUGGGGAGCGAACAGG
rnacentral:rRNA from 1 species